GCAUAGAUAAUGUGCCCCUUAGUUCGGGAUAGCCACUGGAAACGGUGAUUAAUACCGGAUACUCCUUCUUGUUAUAAGACAAGUCGGGAAAGUUUUUCGCUAAGGGAUCAGUCUAUGUUCCAUCAGCUUGUUGGUGAGGUAUGGCUCACCAAGGCUAUGACGGAUAUCUGGUUUGAGAGGAUGAUCAGACACACUGGAACUGAGACACGGUCCAGACUCCUACGGGAGGCAGCAGUGAGGAAUAUUGCACAAUGGUGGAAACUCUGAUGCAGCAACGCCGCGUGGAGGAUGACGCAUUUCGGUGUGUAAACUCCUUUUAUUAGGGAAGAUAAUGACGGUACCUAAUGAAUAAGCACCGGCUAACUCCGUGCCAGCAGCCGCGGUAAUACGGAGGGUGCAAGCGUUACUCGGAAUCACUGGGCGUAAAGGGUGCGUAGGCUGGCUUUUAAGUCAGAUGUGAAAUCCAAUGGCUCAACCAUUGAACUGCAUUUGAAACUGAAAGCCUAGAGUUCAGAAGGGGCAGAUGGAAUUAGUGGUGUAGGGGUAAAAUCCGUAGAUAUCACUAGGAAUAUCAAAAGCGAAGGCGAUCUGCUGGGAUGA
rnacentral:rRNA from 1 species